rnacentral:rRNA from 1 species
CAGCCGCCGCGGUAAUACGAAGGGGGCUAGCGUUGCUCGGAAUUACUGGGCGUAAAGGGAGCGUAGGCGGACAUUUAAGUCAGGGGUGAAAUCCCAGAGCUCAACUCUGGAACUGCCUUUGAUACUGGGUGUCUUGAGUGUGAUAGAGGUAUGUGGAACUCCGAGUGUAGAGGUGAAAUUCGUAGAUAUUCGGAAGAACACUAGUGGCGAAGGCGACAUACUGGAUCAUUACUGACGCUGAGGCUCGAAAGCGUGGGGAGCAAACAGGAUUAGAUACCCCAGUAGUCCCUGUCUCUUAUAC